rnacentral:rRNA from 1 species
GAUGAACGCUGGCGGCGUGCCUAAUACAUGCAAGUCGAGCGAAUGGAUUAAGAGCUUGCUCUUAUGAAGUUAGCGGCGGACGGGUGAGUAACACGUGGGUAACCUGCCCAUAAGACUGGGAUAACUCCGGGAAACCGGGGCUAAUACCGGAUAACAUUUUGAACCGCAUGGUUCGAAAUUGAAAGGCGGCUUCGGCUGUCACUUAUGGAUGGACCCGCGUCGCAUUAGCUAGUUGGUGAGGUAACGGCUCACCAAGGCAACGAUGCGUAGCCGACCUGAGAGGGUGAUCGGCCACACUGGGACUGAGACACGGCCCAGACUCCUACGGGAGGCAGCAGUAGGGAAUCUUCCGCAAUGGACGAAAGUCUGACGGAGCAACGCCGCGUGAGUGAUGAAGGCUUUCGGGACGUAAAACUCUGCUGUUAGGGAAGAACAAGUGCUAGUUGAAUAAGCUGGCACCUUGACGGUACCUAACCAGAAAGCCACGGCUAACUACGUGCCAGCCGCCGCUGUAA